rnacentral:rRNA from 1 species
AUUGAACGCUGGCGGCAGGCCUAACACAUGCAAGUCGAACGAGCGGCGGACGGGUGAGUAAUGUAUGGGGACUGCCCGCUAGAGGGGGAUAACUACUGGAAACGGUGGCUAAUACCGCAUACUAUCGGAUAACCCAUAUGGGAUUAGCUAGUAGGUGGGGUAAAGGCUAACCUAGGCGACGAUCUCUAGCUGGUCUGAGAGGAUGAUCAGCACAACUGGGACUGAGACACGGCCCAGACUCUUACGGAGGCAGCAGUGGGGAAGAUUGGACAAUGGGGGCAAGCCUGAUGCAGACAUGCCGGGUGUAGGAAGAAGGCCUUAGGGUUGUAAAGUACUUUAAGCGGGGAGGCGUUACCCGCAGAAGAAGCACCGGCUAACUCCGUGCCAGCAGCCGCGGUAAUUC